UAGGGAAUCUUCGGCAAUGGACGGAAGUCUGACCGAGCAACGCCGCGUGAGUGAAGAAGGUUUUCGGAUCGUAAAGCUCUGUUGUAAGAGAAGAACGAGUGUGAGAGUGGAAAGUUCACACUGUGACGGUAUCUUACCAGAAAGGGACGGCUAACUACGUGCCAGCAGCCGCGGUAAUACGUAGGUCCCGAGCGUUGUCCGGAUUUAUUGGGCGUAAAGCGAGCGCAGGCGGUUANUAAUUUGAAAGUUAAAGGCUGUGGCUUAACCAUAGUACGCUUUGGAAACUGUUUAACUUGAGUGCAAGAGGGGAGAGUGGAAUUCCAUGUGUAGCGGUGAAAUGCGUAGAUAUAUGGAGGAACACCGGUGGCGAAAGCGGCUCUCUGGCUUGUAACUGACGCUGAGGCUCGAAAGCGUGGGGAGCAAACAGGAUUAGAUACCCUGGUAGUCCACGCCCUAAACGAUGAGGAUUAGGUGUUGGGCAGCAUGACUGCUUAGUAGCGAAGCUAACGCGUGAAAUCGACCGCCUGGGGAGUACGGUCGCAAGAUUA
rnacentral:rRNA from 1 species